UACAGAGGUCCCAAGCGUUGUUCGGAUUCAUUGGGCGUAAAGGGUGCGUAGGUGGCGUCGUAAGUCGGGUGUGAAAUCUCGGGGCUUAACUCCGAAACUGCAUUCGAUACUGCGGUGCUUGAGGACUGGAGAGGAGACUGGAAUUUACGGUGUAGCAGUGAAAUGCGUAGAUAUCUGGAGGAACACCGGUGGCGAAGGCGGCGUCCUGGACCAACACUGACACUGAGGAGCGAAAGCCAGGGGAGCAAACGGG
rnacentral:rRNA from 1 species